rfam:Schistosoma rodhaini strain Burundi genome assembly, scaffold: SROB_scaffold0005397
AUAUAGCUGAUGAGUCCUAAAUAGGACGAAACGCAUGUCCGGGAU